UGGGGAAUUUUGCACAAUGGGCGCAAGCCUGAUGCAGCGACGCCGCGUGAGGGAUGAAGGCCUUCGGGUUGUAAACCUUUUUCGCUCAUGGUCAAGCCGCAGCUUUGGGUUGUGGUGAGGGUAGUGGGUAAAGAAGCGCCGGCUAACUACGUGCCAGCAGCCGCGGUAAUACGUAGGGCGCGAGCGUUGUCCGGAAUUAUUGGGCGUAAAGGGCUUGUAGGCGGUUGGCCGCGUCUGCCGUGAAAUCCUCUGGCUUAACUGGGGGCGUGCGGUGGGUACGGGUUGACUUGAGUGCGGUAGGGGGGACUGGAAGUCCUGGUGUAGCGGUGGAAUGCGCAGAUAUCAGGAGGAACACCGGUGGCGAAGGCGGGUCUCUGGGCCGUUACUGACGCUGAGGAGCGAAAGCGUGGGGAGCGAACAGG
rnacentral:rRNA from 1 species